CUACCACAGACCCCAGGAUCUGGACCACCAGGCGUAUCUUCCUUGGAGAGUCGGCUUCUCAUAGGAGAGUCCUUCUCAUCCUUGCAGUGCCUGGCACAAGCAGCUCCAAGGAUGACAGCACAUUAUACGAGAUGAGUGUCAGCCAUCACCGCUCACCAUGGGCCUGACUUGCCCGGCCUCCUUGAACCGAUGAGGGUGGUUCAAGCUUCAUUCUAGCUUCAGUAUUGCGUCUAUUUUACCAAACAGGAAUUCAAGGUGCAAUGAAGCCACACACUCGAGCAAUUUAAUGUGCUCCAGACUCAGCUGGAGUUGCCUGGACUCCUCAUUCUCCAGACUACCAACCACUGAAUCACUUCACAGUUUCUUGGAAAACCAGAUAGUGAAUGACCCAGGACUGGAGGGUGCUUUGGUGUCAUUUUUACCUGAGAUUACUGGACCUGACUCAAGACAAACUUAUGAUCAGCCAUCUGCCAGGCUGUGCUCUUCUCCAUUGCAAUCCAUGAUCUGACAAAAGGAAAGAAUCUAUUUUAGGAUUCCCCACGUCCGCUGUGGUUCUGAGUAAUGCCUGAGACUUGUUAUCUAGCAAUUAAGCAAGAAAAGAUGGGAAAUUGUAUUUACAUUUUCCACACUGUUGAGCUUUCUAUACCUAACCUUGAAUACUUAGUACUGUGCCGAAUUAUGAUUCAUCGGGGAGCCAUGGUUUUAUUUAUAAAAGAAUGAAACAAAGCUUAACUCUCAGUAGGAUGGCUAUCUUUAGAGAGAAAAGGGAGUAGAACAUAUAUUUUAAAAUUGUCAGUGAUGAAAAUGAAAAAUAAACUACUUCCUAUACUGAAAGCGAGAGCUUUC
rnacentral:lncRNA from 1 species